AGCGAACGCUGGCGGCAUGCUUAACACAUGCAAGUCGAGCGGGCAUCCUUGUGGUGUCAGCUGCAGACGGGUGAGUAACGCGUGUGAACGGGCCCUUCGGUUCGGAAUAACUCGGGGAAACUUUAGCUAAUACCGGAUACUUGCGAGAGCAGAAAGGUUUAUCUGCCGAAGGAUCGGCCCGCGUCUGAUUAGCUAGUUGGUGAGGUUACGUCUCACCAAGGCGACGAUCAGUAGCUGGUCUGAGAGGAUGAUCAGCCACACUGGGACUGAGACACGGCCCAGACGCCUACGGGAGGCAGCAGUUGGGAAUAUUGGACAAUGGGGGCAAUCCUGAUCCAGCCAUGCCGCGUGAGUGAUGACGGCCUUAGGGUUGUAAAGCUCUAUUCUCCGGGACGAUAAUGACGGUACCGGAGGAAGAAGCCCCGGCUAACUUCGUG
rnacentral:rRNA from 1 species